rnacentral:rRNA from 1 species
UGCGAGCAAUCGUGAUAAGGGAACUCCGAGUGCCCGUAAAAUCGGGCUGUCCGCCAGUGUAAAUAACUGGUGAAGAAAGGGCCGGGCAAGACCGGUGCCAGCCGCCGCGGUAAUACCGGCGGCUCGAGUGGUGGCCACUAUUACUGGGCUUAAAGCGUUCGUAGCUGGUCUGUUAAGUCUCUGGGGAAAUCUUCCGGCUUAACCGGAAGGCGUCUCAGGGAUACUGGCAG